rnacentral:snRNA from 1 species
GUGCUCAUUUCAGUAGCACAUAUAUUAAAAUUGGAAUGAUACAGAGAAGAUUAGCAUGGCCCCUGUGCAAGAGUGACAUGCAAAUUUGUGAAGCAUUCCAUAUUUUU